GGGCGUGUGGUCUAGUGGUAUGAUUCUCGCUUUGGGUGUAUUCCAAACGUGCGAGAGGCCCUGGGUUCAAUUCCCAGUAUGCCCC
rnacentral:tRNA from 2 species